AUGGAGACUGGGCUGUGCUGGCUUCUCCUGGUCACUGUGCUCAAAGGUGUCCAGUGUCAGGAGCAGCUGGAGGAGUCCGGGGGAGGCCUGGUCACGCCUGGAGGAACCCUGACACUCACCUGCACAGCCUCUGGAUUCUCCCUCAGUAGCUAUGGAGUGAGCUGGGUCCGCCAGGCUGCAGGGAAGGGGCUGGAAUGGAUCGGAUACAUUAGUAGUAGUGGUAGCGCAUACUACGCGAGCUGGGUGAAUGGUCGAUUCACCAUCUCCAAAACCUCGAGCACGGUGGAUCUGAAAAUGACCAGUCUGACAGCCUCGGACACGGCCACCUAUUUCUGUGCAAGAAACACA